UCGCUUCUGUAAGGCUCUAUCUUCUCGCCAUAAAACCCCCAAUUUUUUAGUGGUUGACCUCGGAUCAGGUAGGAAUACCCGCUGAACUUAAGCAUAUCAAUAAGCGGAGGA
rnacentral:rRNA from 1 species